GGUAGAGUGGCCGAGUGUUAGGCGGCGGUUUGUAGCAUCGUGUACAGAGGUUAGAUUCCUUUUUCUAUUAA
rnacentral:tRNA from 1 species